GUUUUCACUAUUAGCAACAUCAGGGACUUAUUAAGAUAUGGGGAGAAAUACCCUACUUUACAACACUUGGGAAUAGAGAUCUUGAAAAGUCUUGCAUUGGAAGAUGAUGCAACAGAGAGAAUUGGAGGAACCGGUGGAAUCCUUAAGGAGUUGUGCAACAUCUUUUUCAAGGACUCGACACCUAACAAUCGCCUGGAGGAACCGGUGGAAUCCUUAAGGAGUUAUGCAACAUUUUCCUCAAGGAGUCCAUACCUAAAAAUCAUGGUCAAGUAAGAACCGCAGCAGGAGAAGCACUAGCAAUGUUGGCACUUGAGAGCAA
rnacentral:lncRNA from 1 species